rnacentral:rRNA from 1 species
AUUGAACGCUGGCGGCAUGCCUUACACAUGCAAGUCGAACGGCAGCACGGGCUUCGGUCUGGUGGCGAGUGGCGAACGGGUGAGUAAUGUAUCGGAACGUACCAUUGAGUGGGGGAUAACGUAGCGAAAGUUACGCUAAUACCGCAUAUUCUCUCCGGAGGAAAGCAGGGGACCGCAAGGCCUUGCGCUCUUUGAGCGGCCGAUAUCCGAUUAGCUAGUUGGUGGGGUAAAAGCGCACCAAGGCGACGAUCUGUAGCGGGUCUGAGAGGAUGAUCCGCCACGCUGGAACUGAGACACGGUCCAGACUCCUACGGGCGGCAGCAGUGGGGAAUUUUGGGCACUGGGGGCAACCCUGGUCCAGGCCUGCCGCGUGAGUGAAGAAGGCCUUCGGGUUGUAAAGCUCUUUCGGCCGGGAAAAAAUCGCAUGGAUUAAUACUCUGUGUGGAUGAUGGUACCGGAAUAAGAAGCACCGGCUAACUACGUGCCAGCCGCCGCGGUAAUAC